rnacentral:lncRNA from 1 species
GCCUGACUCCGCCGCGGCCGACGGGCAGCCGGAGGUGCGGAUCGAUAUAGCCGGGGACACCGUGGCGGCGGCGGCGGCGGCGAAGAGCAGUGCGCCGGCGAUGGGGAGGCUGCCGAGUGGGACGGAUCUCGAGAAGACGAGACGGGUCUUCACCUCGACCCGAUCCGCUUCCUUCUGAAUCUGACAACGAAAUAGACAGCGGAAGGUUCCUAGCCCGUUCCUGAACGUACGGACCCAGCCAUCGUUUCGGAAUUCGGAUUGUUUGUAGACUGCACAUACAUUUGUUGGCGUUACUGGGUUGGGUAUACCGUAUACGAUAUACGUAUACCUGGUUUUGUACAAUUUUGCCAGACGGUCGAUGGUUAUUUUUGUGUGAUCUUGACUUCUUGAGUUACCCCACUGGUCUCCUGUAAAUAAAUUUGGUAUUUAAACGGUGUAGGAGGGUGGAUGUGGGUAGUUAUUCGGCAC